rnacentral:rRNA from 1 species
UACGUAGGGGGCAAGCGUUGUCCGGAUUUAUUGGGCGUAAAGAGCGUGUAGGCGGCCAUACAGGUCCGUUGUGAAAACUGGAGGCUUAACCUCCAGACGUCGAUGGAAACCGUAUGGCUAGAGUCCGGAAGAGGAGAGUGGAAUUCCUGGUGUAGCGGUGAAAUGCGUAGAUAUCAGGAGGAACACCGGUGGUGUAGACGGCUUUCUGGACCGUAACUGACGCUGAGACACGAAAGCGUGGGUAGCAAACAGG